rnacentral:rRNA from 1 species
AAACCAACAGGGAUUGCCCUAGUAACGGCGAGUGAAGCGGCAAGAGCUCAAAUUUGAAAUCUGGCCCUCUCAGGGUCCGAGUUGUAAUUUGUAGAGGGCGNUUUGGCGUUGGCCCCGGCCUAAGUUCCUUGGAACAGGACGUCACAGAGGGUGAGAACCCCGUACGUGGCCGCCGGCCUCCGCCGUGUAAAGCCCCUUCGACGAGUCCAGUUGUUUGGGAAUGCAGCUCUAAAUGGGAGGUAAAUUUCUUCUAAAGCUAAAUACUGGCCAGAGACCGAUAGCGCACAAGUAGAGUGAUCGAAAGAUGAAAAGCACUUUGGAAAGAGAGUCAAAAAGCACGUGAAAUUGUUGAAAGGGAAGCGCUUGCAGCCAGACUUGCCUGUAGUUGCUCAUCCGAGCUCCCGCUCGGUGCACUCUUCUGCGGGCAGGCCAGCAUCAGUCCGGGCGGUCGGAUAAAGGCCUCGGGAAUGUAGCUCCCCUCGGGGAGUGUUAUAGCCCGGGGUGCCAUGCGACCAGCCUGGACUGAGGUCCGCGCAUCUGCUAGGAUGCUGGCGUAAUGGCUGUAAGCGGC